AAAGAACUCCAAGAUGGUACAGUUUGGAGAUGGAAGCCUCCCGGGCCACUUGGAGAAGAGACUUACAAGAUUGUUUCCCAAUUAUCCUCUGACAGUGACAUGCACAACAGGUAACCUUGGGUGGCUGUAGAGACCUGUUAAUUGUGCCUUGCAACCUCCGUGAAAACCUUCACCAAAUGUGCAUUGCUGAGGAAAUGAAGAACGUUGCAUUCAAAACCUCAUUUCCCCUCUUAACUACGAGGGGUUUCUGCAUCAAAGGGCUUCAAACCCAGAUUUCCACCUUGUAAAAACUCAGCCUAUGAGCGGAGCCCCCUAUGAGCCAGCAGAGGGCGCUGCUACCCUUUGUAAGAAGCACUUGGGUCUCACCCGAAGACGGACAUCUGGACCCUGAACCAAAGAUGAUCAAGUCUCAUGUUUGUGACACUCCAGUUACAAACCUGAAAAGGGAAAGAUUUACGAUGGUAUAAUUUAUAUGCUUUCUUUAAAAGUCACAUGAAG